AGGAGGAAGAAGAAGAAGAACAACAAUAACAAGAAAAAGAAG
rnacentral:sRNA from 1 species